GAUGAACGCUGGCGGCGUGCCUAAUACAUGCAAGUCGAGCGAACAGAUGAGGAGCUUGCUCCUCUGACGUUAGCGGCGGACGGGUGAGUAACACGUGGAUAACCUACCUAUAAGACUGGGAUAACUUCGGGAAACCGGAGCUAAUACCGGAUAAUAUAUUGAACCGCAUGGUUCAAUAGUGAAAGACGGUUUUGCUGUCACUUAUAGAUGGAUCCGCGCCGCAUUAGCUAGUUGGUAAGGUAACGGCUUACCAAGGCAACGAUGCGUAGCCGACCUGAGAGGGUUAUCGGCCACACUGGAAUUGAGACACGGUCCAGACUCCUACGGGAGGCAGCAGUAGGGAAUCUUCCGCAAAGGGCGAAAGCCUGACGGAGCAACGCCGCGUGAGUGAUGAAGGUCUUCGGAUCGUAAAACUCUGUUAUUAGGGAAGAACAAAUGUGUAAGUAACUAUGCACGUCUUGACGGUACCUAAUCAGAAAGCCACGGCUAACUACGUG
rnacentral:rRNA from 1 species